UCCUCCCCCUCUUCUGCUCCCUCCUCCUCCCCCUUGUCUCCCUCCUCCUCACAAGUCUCUCACCAGGCCUGGUCACUCUCUUCUGUCCCCACCCCCCAGAGCUCUGAUACUGGAUUUUGUGCGUCAUGACCUUUCCUGAGUGGUAACCAGCACCAUGUACUUAAAAUGAACGUUGGUGACGUGAUUCGGCAGCUGUGGCAUUUAAGGGGUACCUAAUGGGAGGAGAUUUUCCAGCUAAGGCAGGAGCUUUCACUUCAUUUGCUCCCUCCAUGUGCCUCACUCCAGACCGGUCAGCAGGGCUUCUCCUCCUCGUGCACACUGACACAGACAAGGCCCUGCUCUCUCUCAAGUUCCAGAGGACACCAGGAUCCACUGCCUUGUCACCAAUUCCAGAAGAAUGAGGUCUCACCCCACAAGCUUUUCUCUUACUGGUUCCCUCUUCUAAUUAACUACUCAGCUAAUUGUUACAGGAUCACCAUAGAGCUGGAGUCCAGGGACCAUCAGAUAUACCCAGGUGAAACCAGCUUAAGUCUAUCUGGACAGAGUCCCAAGCCAAGAAAGAUGAACAUCUCCAAGGCAGCAGACGACAGCCCAGGAUGCCUGUCUACCUCAGAAGCACCCUUCCCUAUCCCCCAAGAGUUAACCAACACCCACUGAGUCAGCUGGAAGUAGUUUUUUUUGGGGGGAGAAAUGACGCCCCUGUUCCUGUUCAUCCACCUUUUUUUAUAAUAAGCAAAAAGUUUGGAAUGUUAGGAUUCUGCCAUUCUAUCUAUAUGACUACACAUGCGAAGUUCAGUAGCUAAGCAAGGGGUCUUACGUCUUACAUCAUCAGUGGGCCACAUGAUUGCACAAAUGUGCACAGUGUGGUCACACAAUCAGCGCAUGGGUGGUGUAGCUCUGUGAGCCCACCUGCACAUGUGCAGGGGAAUCCUUAAAAAGCCGGACACAGGCUCCUCCCCUCUCUUCUGCUCUCUCCCCUCCUCCUCUCCCCCUCCUCCUUUCUCCCUCCUCACGUGUCUCUUCCCAGGCCUGGUCACUCUCUUCUGUGCCCCACCUCCAGCAAAGCUCUGAUAUUGGGUUUUGUCGUGCCUCAUGACCUUUC